CUAAUACCGGAUACUGACCCUUGCAGGCAUCUGCGAGGUUCGAAAGCUCCGGCGGUGAAGGAUGAGCCCGCGGCCUAUCAGCUUGUUGGUGAGGUAAUGGCUCACCAAGGCGACGACGGGUAGCCGGCCUGAGAGGGCGACCGGCCACACUGGGACUGAGACACGGCCCAGACUCCUACGGGAGGCAGCAGUGGGGAAUAUUGCACAAUGGGCGAAAGCCUGAUGCAGCGACGCCGCGUGAGGGAUGACGGCCUUCGGGUUGUAAACCUCUUUCAGCAGGGAAGAAGCGAAAGUGACGGUACCUGCAGAAGAAGCGCCGGCUAACUACGUGCCAGCAGCCGCGGUAAUACGUAGGGCGCAAGCGUUGUCCGGAAUUAUUGGGCGUAAAGAGCUCGUAGGCGGCUUGUCACGUCGGUUGUGAAAGCCCGGGGCUUAACCCCGGGUCUGCAGUCGAUACGGGCAGGCUAGAGUUCGGUAGGGG
rnacentral:rRNA from 2 species